ACAUCUUCAGACUUUAUAUCCAACCAUAAGUAUUAUUUCAUUACAUGUAUUCAGUGCUUGUGUGUACCAUAUCCUGAGUCGAGAUCUGAGAUUCUCCUUUUUAAUAAUAUGUUUAUUUUACAUACAUUUUACUUGGGAUGUGUAUCUGUGUAAGGGUUGUCAGAUGCUCUGGAACUAAAAUUACAAGACAGUUGUGAGCUGCCAUGUGGGAGCUGGGAAUUGAAGCCAGGUCCGCUGGAAGAACAGUUGGUGUUCUUUUUUUUUGUAUUUUUCCCUGAGACGGGGUGUCUCUGUAUAGCCCUGGCUGUCCACCUGCCUCUGCCUCCCAAGCGCUGGGAUUAAAGGCGUGUACCACCACUGCCCGUCCAGUCGGUGCUCUUAACUGCUGAGCCAACUCUGUCUAGCCUAGAGGUUCUCUCCCUCUAUCAUGAAGGUUCUAGGGAACUCAAGGCCUCUGACUUGGCAGCAAGCACCUUUAUCUGUUAAGAGCCAUCUCACCUGACCUUUCGAAUGAUUCAAUCUUCAUAAUUCCAUGGAAAUGUAAUUUCUACCAGUUCUUGACAUAAGAAACCUGAGGUUCAGUGAUGUUAAGUAAUUUUCCCAGGUUACACAGCUGCUAAGUGGAAACUGCACAGAGAGAGAGAGAGAGAGAGACAGACAGACAGACAGACAGACAGACAGACCGACAGACACUCCUGGUUCCCCAGAGGUGGGCAGUGACAUUAAGGGCUUGGAGACUUCCAAGGGCUGAGUAGUUUGGGGAGGCUUCCUGGCUGAGGUGGGUCCGUUGGCAUCAUUAAAAAAGAAAUAAGGGUCGUGGGAAGGGAGAGACUUGGGAGUGUUUCUGGAGGUUGUGUGGGAAGUAACUAGGGAGGCUUGCGAGUUAGGCAUUCUGGAGAGCAAUGGGUACGUGUGGCCACCAGGUGGCGCCGCAGGACUCCUUUGCCUCCCAUUGGUCUGGAGGGCCAGGGCUCAAGUCUGACUCCUUGUGGACCCGGUGCCCCAUGCUCAGCCCUGCACAGUUCAGGCACCCAGCCGGCCCUCCGGUUUUUGGCAUGGCAUCUAACACGUGGAAGACAGGAAAUCUUGAUACCAGUCUAUUCCAGAUUCAGAAUGGAAACCCAAAAUAGAGCCCCCCUCCCCAAACAGCAUACUCUGCCUUCCUGUCCUGUGCCUUCCUGAGUCCCUUAGAGGUACUGUUUAGGGAAAUUGUUAAGGAUACAAGCAUUGUGUGCAACUGGCUGUGUCUGCAUGGAAAUAAUAAUUACCUAAUAAAGAUGUAAAAGUUUUC
rnacentral:lncRNA from 1 species